rnacentral:lncRNA from 1 species
CCACCACAGAGUCUCAGGGCCCUUGCAUAGUGACAUACUCACCACCCUCAGCAUCUCAGGGCCCCACACAGGAUUUAGAGAAAGUGUUACUCUGUCCCACCCAGACUGGAGUCUUCCAGAGUAUUCCAAGCUACACGUCCUGGAUAUAUGGCUUGAGGCAGAUGUUGACUAGACUGUUGAUCACAUAGGCCACCAGGCUCAUGGCAAUAGCACAUAUGUCACAGGCCUGGCGCAGCAAAGCAUGGCCAUUGGAGACCAUGUUCAGGAUGCCCCGAUUCAGGAAUUCCCGGCUCCUCAGAGCUCCGUGGGAGGCCAAGUGCCCCAGUAGCUUUAAGCUCUCCAAGCCAGAGUAGCAGCUAUAGAGGAGCGUCCCCAAGGCCUGUAGUCCCCCGAAGGUAAAUCGGACCACAGCUUCAACUAAGGCCAGCAAAGAAAGCAGGAAUCCUCGACCCAAGUGCAGAAGACUGGUCAGUACCGUGUGUGGCAGAUUGUAGAUGAAGGCCAAAAGCCAGGCC